UACGUAGGGCGCGAGCGUUGUCCGGAUUUAUUGGGCGUAAAGAGCUCGUAGGCGGCUUGUCGCGUCGAAUGUGAAAACCUGCAGCUCAACUGCAGGCUUGCAUUCGAUACGGGCAGGCUCGAGUUCGGUAGGGGAGACUGGAAUUCCUGGUGUAGCGGUGAAAUGCGCAGAUAUCAGGAGGAACACCCGGUGGCGAAGGCGGGUCUCU
rnacentral:rRNA from 1 species